rnacentral:tRNA from 1 species
UCACAGGUGGCUCAGACGGAAAAGCAUCCGUCUGCAAUACGGGAGACCCAGGUUCCAUCCCUGGGUUGGGAA